rnacentral:rRNA from 1 species
UCCAGACUCCUACGGGAGGCAGCAGUGGGGGAUAUUGCACAAUGGGGGGAACCCUGAUGCAGCGACGCCGCGUGGGUGAAGGAGCGUUUCGGCGCGUAAAGCCCUAUCGGCAGGGAAGAAGGAGGACGGUACCUGACUAAGAAGCCCCGGCUAACUACGUGCCAGCAGCCGCGGUAAUACGUAGGGGGCAAGCGUUAUCCGGAUUCACUGGGUGUAAAGGGAGCGUAGACGGCGAGACAAGUCUGGAGUGAAAGGCCGGGGCCCAACCCCGGGACUGCUCUGGAAACUGCCUGGCUGGAGUACAGGAGAGGUAAGUGGAAUUCCUAGUGUAGCGGUGAAAUGCGUAGAUAUUAGGAGGAACACCAGUGGCGAAGGCGGCUUACUGGACUGUAACUGACGUUGAGGCUCGAAAGCGUGGGGAGCAAACAGGAUUAGAUACCCUAGUA